UUGAACGCUGGCGGCAGGCCUAACACAUGCAAGUCGCGCGGAUGAAGGGAGCUUGCUCCUGGAUUCAGCGGCGGACGGGUGAGUAAUGCCUAGGAAUCUGCCUGGUAGUGGGGGAUAACGUCCGGAAACGGGCGCUAAUACCGCAUACGUCCUGAGGGAGGAAGUGGGGGAUCUUCGGACCUCACGCUAUCAGAUGAGCCUAGGUCGGAUUAGCUAGUUGGUGGGGUAAAGGCCUACCAAGGCGACGAUCCGUAACUGGUCUGAGAGGAUGAUCAGUCACACUGGAACUGAGACACGGUCCAGACUCCUACGGGAGGCAGCAGUGGGGAAUAUUGGACGAUGGGCGAAAGCCUGAUCCAGCCAUGCCGCGUGUGUGAAGAAGGUCUUCGGAUUGUAAAGCACUUUAAGUUGGGAGGAAGGGCAGUAAGUUAAUACCUUGCUGUUUUGACGUUACCAACAGAAUAAGCACCGGCUAACUUCGUG
rnacentral:rRNA from 1 species